rnacentral:rRNA from 1 species
GACGAACGCUGGCGGCGUGCCUAAUACAUGCAAGUCGAACGCUUCUUUCCUCCCGAGUGCUUGCACUCAAUUGGAAAGCGGAGUGGCGGACGGGUGAGUAACACGUGGGUAACCUACCCAUCAGAGGGGGAUAACACUUGGAAACAGGUGCUAAUACCGCAUAACAGUUUAUGCCGCAUGGCAUAAGAGUGAAAGGCGCUUUCGGGUGUCGCUGAUGGAUGGACCCGCGGUGCAUUAGCUAGUUGGUGAGGUAACGGCUCACCAAGGCCACGAUGCAUAGCCGACCUGAGAGGGUGAUCGGCCACACUGGGACUGAGACACGGCCCAGACUCCUACGGGAGGCAGCAGUAGGGAAUCUUCGGCCCUGGCCGCCCGUCUGACCGAGCCCCGCCGCGUGAGUGAAGAAGGUUUUCGGAUCGUAAAACUCUGUUGUUAGAGAAGAACAAGGACGUUAGUAACUGAACGUCCCCUGACGGUAGCUCACCAGAAAGCCACGGCUCACUACGUG